ensembl:lncRNA
AAUCUCUCAUGGCUCAAAGUGGAAAAGAGAUUGACAUCAUCAUUACUUGUUUUCAUAAGAGGUGUUGACAAGCUGAAGGUACUGAGAUGUCUGUUUAAAAUAAUAAUAGCACACAGCUCAGACACCCAUGCAUACCCCACAAGACAUGCCACCAGAGGUCUCUUCACAGGCCCCAAGUCCAGAACAGAUUAUGGGAGGCGUACAGUACUACAUAGUGCCAUGACUACAUGGAACUCUAUUUCACAUCAGGUAACUGAUGCAAGCAGUAGAAUCAGAUUUAAAAAGCAGGUAAAAAUACACUUAAAAAAAAAAAAAGUUUAACCUUUAUUUAACCAGGCAAGUCAGUUAAGAACAUAUUCUUAUUUUCAAGGAUGGCCUGGGAACAGUGGGUUAACUGCCUGUUCAGGGGUAGAAUGACAGAUUUGUACCUUGUCAGCUUGGGGGUUUGAACUCGCAACCUUCCGUUUAUUAGUCCAACGCUCUAACCACUAGGCUACGCUGCCGCCCCAUACCUUAUGGAACAGCGGGGACUGUGAAGUAACACAAACAUAGGCACAGACACAUGCAUACACACACAUGAUUGCCCCCCAUCUAUCUUCAGAGCUCGUACUGUUAGGUGACCUAAACUGGGACAUGCUUAACACCCCAGCCAUCCUACAAUCUAAGUUAGAUGCCCUCAAUCUCACACAAAUGAUCAAUUAACCUACCAGGUACAACCCCAAAUCUGUAAACACGGGCACCCUCAUAGAUAUCAUCCUGACCAACCUGCCCUCUAAAUACACCUCUGCUGUCUUCAACCAGGAUUUCAGCGAUCACUGCCUCAUUGUCUGCGUCCGUAAUGGGUCUGCGGUCAAACGACCACCACUCAUCACUGUCAAACGCUCCCUAAAUUACUUCAGCGAGCAGGCCUUUCUAAUCGACCUGGCCCGGGUAUCCUGGAAGGAUAUUGACCUCAUUCUGUCAGUAGAGGAUGCCUGGUUAUUCUUUAAAAGUGCUUUCCUCACCAUCUUAAAUAAGCAUGCCCCAUUUAAAAAAAAAAGGUACUAGGAACAGAUAUAGCCCUUGGUUCACUCCAGACCUGACUGACUGCCCUUGACCAGCACAAAAACAUCCUGUGGCGUACUGCAUUAGCAUCGAAUAGCCCCCGCAAUAUGCAGCUUUUCAGGGAAGUUAGGCACCAAAAUACACAGGCAGUUAGGAAAGCAAAGGCUGGCUUUUUCAAGCAGAAAUUUGCAUCCUGUAGCACAAACUCCAAAAAGUUCUAGGACACUGUAAAAUCCAUGGAGAAUAAGAU